UACAGAGACUGCAAGCGUUAUUCGGAUUCACUGGGCGUAAAGGGUGCGCAGGCGGUUGGGUGUGUCAGAUGUGAAAUCCCGAGGCUUAACCUCGGAACUGCGUCUGAAACUACUCGACUAGAGUACUGGAGAGGGAAACGGAAUUCACGGUGUAGCAGUGAAAUGCGUAGAUAUCGUGAGGAACACCAGAGGCGAAGGCGGUUUCCUGGACAGUUACUGACACUCAAAUACGAAAGCGUGGGGAGCAAACAGG
rnacentral:rRNA from 1 species